AAUUUUAUACGAGCGGUGUGAACCAUCUUUUGGCAGCAGCGGCCCGACCAGCAAGCACACGCCUGAGAUUUCGCUCCAUAUUUUACAGAUCAUGAAGUUUACCAGCCGCCCACAACAAUCACAACCUGGUGUAAAGAAGAAACGGUCACAAGGAUAGACCCCACGUACAAUAAAAUAUUUGUCGGAGACGAAGGCCUCUGUGCUAGUUCAAAGAAAGGUGCACCUCGCAUGACUCGGCUGCGAGCAUUCUGCAUUUUGGAUAGCUGUUGUCGACGUCAAACGCAGCGCCAUGGUAGCCCGUUGACCUGUUCUCGUCAGAUAUGUCAAUUUUAGCAACACAAAAGCCUCAGCACAUAAAACUAAAAAGAACCACAUUGACCUCUCACGUGCCGCACCUGCAACACGCGGCAAUCCCUCACGCACCAGUUGCGGUGGCCGGUGGAGAGAGAGUGACGGGAAUGCACCGGUUCGAGGCUACGCUUCUCCUCUUGUGAAAGCGGUUUGUAUAACAUCAUCUCCAACAAAUUUCCUUGUAGCGCAUGUAGAGGACAGGAAAAGAAAAUAAAGGCACAUUCAUACACACAGCGCUGUGGCAGCCUGCUGACCUGGCAUCAGUUUGUUUAUGUGCUAUUAAGCUAUUGAAUGGCGUUCUUUAAGAAUUAAGGUCUGGUGUUUGUUGAGCCUUAUGCAUCCAGACAUUCUGAAUCAUUUCUGAGGAUAAUAUUGUGCACUUGGUGGUUGCUGGUAACCGCUUUAUAAAGUAAUACUAGAACUUGU